ensembl:miRNA MIR196A1 microRNA 196a-1
UGAACUGGAACUGCUGAGUGAAUUAGGUAGUUUCAUGUUGUUGGGCCUGGGUUUCUGAACACAACAACAUUAAACCACCGGAUUCACGGCAGUUACUGCUCC